CCAAAGCUGUGUCCAACCUUGCCUCGCACACUGCCAGGGAUGGAGCAUUUGUCACUUCUUUGGGCAACCUGUUCCAGUCAUAUAUUCUUAAAGGAAGCAGAUUUGCCCAGGUUUGUUCACUGAUGGUUCUCCUGCUCAUAAACAGCUCCUGGGGUUGACUCCAUCGUUUUGAGCUAGUGCUGAAUCAGUAUCUUGGCAGGAUAAAUUGCACUCAUCCUUGUUGUGAUGAGCUUCAAACUUCAGUUGCCAAUACACGAUGACCAGAAAGUUCAUCAAAUUCUUCUUUGGAUGAGUAGGACUGUUAUUUCAGACAAGGUCCAAACUGGAUAAAUUCUUACAUGGUGAAUUAUUCACUGCUCAAAUCUUCCAUUUGUAGGUUGUUUAGGUGUCCUAGACAAGAGCUGCUGCCUUUUACCCAGCGGUAGAAUAAGACAGGCAGUUUUAUUCCCAGAGCAAUCCUACCCCCUAAAUGGUGAGUUGAAGCUGCCUUAGAACAGAAGCAUGCCACUUGGCUUUGACAAAAUGUCAGAUUCAACUCCACCUACACAGCUGUAAUGCUGGGACCAUUAGAGGAGUGGGAUUGCCUGCAAACAUUUAAUUACCUAUACCAUGUGAGUAGGAAGUUGUUAUUCUGGCUGACAGAGGAAUAAUGAGGAAUAAAAACACAUUAUGAAAACAUUUGAAUCUGAAGAAUCUUUCUGUCUUUGGGCAUUGUUUUAAUGGAUUUAUGAUACCCCACUGAUGUGUGGGCAGAACCCAAUUAGUUGCAGACACUGAAAGAGUAAACUUUUCAAUAAUUUGUUGAGAAUGGAAUAUUUUUUUCUUCCUUUAGCACUAGUGGCUAAUUUACUGCAUAUUUGUCUUCUUUAACUGAUUAGUAGAAAAGCUUAACUGAUUGUGUCAACUUCUCCAUACACACAUUAGCCCCAAAUUCUAAAGCUUCUUACCACAGUAAAACUCACUUACUCAGCGGGCUGUGCUAUUCUUGAUAGAUGGAAAAAAAUAUUAGUAGAUGAAACCAGAUAGUAUCACUGUGGAAGGAAGAGUUGUCCUAGGAAUGCAAUAGCUGAUGAUUUGCCAUUUCUGUAAUGAGACAACUUCCAGAGCCCAUUUCUCAGUCUGCACCCAGUCUGGACCCUUUCAGAAGAGUUGGCUUCCCUCCCUGAGCAGGUACAUGUUUCCUGGUGGGGCAGGAGAGGGGGCUGGCUAUUUAGAUGUUUAGGGGAGGCAGCAAAGGACCAGCAGAGAAGAUAUGUGAAAUCUUAUGGGGGGAGCAGCGGUUUCACUGGAAUGGGUUGAAAUUUGUGAUGCCAGCAACAUGUUGGCUGACUGUUCUGAGCUGGGAAACAAGAACCAGAAGGAUGGGGAGAGAGGUGGGCUAACUAAGCAGCUGAGCUGUAGCUCUUCUGAUGAGCAGCAGAAUUAAAUGUAGGCCAAAGGAAUGCUAGAAAGGCUUCUCUGCAGAACUGGCUUUGGUGGAGAAAGCAGGUGGUCCCUGCUGAGGAGUUCAGGGAUGGCUGAACUGGCUCGCUCUCAAGAGGACCAGAGAUGAACCUAAAUGGUGACAAUGGGAGGUUCUGCAUAUACCCUUUCCCAAUCAAUCGGAGAUCAUGAACCAAGUGUCUGUCUUCCCUGCCGAAUCACAGCCUGAGAAAAAGGAUGCCCAAGGAUGCCUGGUUUGUAACUUUGGUCCUUUGGUACAUCCUUACUGGAGUUCUUCUUUUUUAACUUCUGCCUUCUGAGCCUUGGAGAUUCCUAUGUUCAAAACCAAUUCCUAUUAAUUUUAAGGCUUGGAGAAACUUGUAUAUUGAAAGCUGUGAUCCACAUAAAUUGACAACAUUAUAGGUUUACCUAGUUUUACUAAUUACUCCAGAUAUUGUAAGAUUCAGUGUCAUGAGCCACUGCGUCUGGGACAUGGAUAGAGCCCAGUUUGAAUACCAGUUUAGGGUGGUUGUUUAUACUAGCAGUAGAAAAGGUAUCAGGAAAGCAAAUUGUGUUGUUUGCAGAUGGAGUAUAUUUUGUAUAGCAUGCAAUAGUAAAAGUCACCUUUCAGAGCAAAGUUGCUAUUGAAAAGUUGAGAAAUAUGAAAAGUGGAGGAAAUCAAGCAGGAGCUUACAAUGUAUGAGCCAAAUCAAAAGGAGGAAAGCAUUUAAAAAAAAAAACACUGUUUCUGAGGCCUCAUGUCAAAUGUUGACUCUACAAAAGAUGUUUUUUUUUCAGUUGCUCAUUAAAAAGGAUCCUACUGAAGAGUUAUUGUUCCCUGAGAAAUCAGACAUGUUGUGUGGGCAAACAUAUUAAAAAGAAAAGGAUUUCCAGAAAGAUGUGAAUGCAAGAAAGCAAUAAAACCUGAAGAGGUUAUUAAAAGCCACCCAGAGAAAUUGGCCACAUGAGGUGUAUUAAAAAAGACUGAGAAGCAAUCGGCAACAAGAAAUCUUCUGGGACACCAAAGCCUAAGAGUGGAUGUUAUCCUGAUCACCUGGGAACCUCUGAUCUCCCUCUCCUGGAGUCCUCACUAUGUGGAUGAAGACAACUGAUGGCCUUUGAUCUGAUGUUCCUGCAGCUGGAGGCAUUCUCAGUGGGAAGGGCUGGCAGAUUUCAAAACAAGUUUUCCCUAUUCUCCAGCCACAUUUUUUCUCCUAAUUGCAAAGCCAGCAUGGUUUGUUUUGUUGGUUUUGUUGUUUUCUGAAAUAACUAAUUCAGCCAGCCAUUAAAUCUCUUGCUCUCUGUA